AGAGUUUGAUCCUGGCUCAGAUUGAACGCUGGCGGCAGGCUUAACACAUGCAAGUCGAGCGGUAACAGAGAUAGCUUGCUAUCUGCUGACGAGCGGCGGACGGGUGAGUAAUGCUUGGGAAUAUGCCUUAUGGUGGGGGACAACAGUUGGAAACGACUGCUAAUACCGCAUAACGUCUACGGACCAAAGGGGGGGAUCUUCGGACCUCUCGCCAUUUGAUUAGCCCAAGUGAGAUUAGCUAGUUGGUGAGGUAAUGGCUCACCAAGGCGACGAUCUCUAGCUGGUUUGAGAGGAUGAUCAGCCACACUGGGACUGAGACACGGCCCAGACUCCUAACGGGAGGCAGCAGCAGGGAAUAUUGCACAAUGGGCGAAAGCCUGAUGCAGCGACACCGCGUGCGGGAUGAAGGCCUUCGGGUUGUAAACCGCUUUCAGGAGGGACGAAAAUGACGGUACCUCCAGAAGAAGGCCCGCCAACUA
rnacentral:rRNA from 1 species